rnacentral:rRNA from 1 species
UGGGGAAUAUUGCACAAUGGGCGCAAGCCUGAUGCAGCCAUGCCGCGUGUAUGAAGAAGGCCUUCGGGUUGUAAAGUACUUUCAGCGGGGAGGAAGGGAGUAAAGUUAAUACCUUUACUCAUUGACGUUACCCGCAGAAGAAGCACCGGCUAACUCCGUGCCAGCAGCCGCGGUAAUACGGAGGGUGCAAGCGUUAAUCGGAAUUACUGGGCGUAAAGCGCACGCAGGCGGUUUGUUAAGUCAGAUGUGAAAUCCCCGGGCUCAACCUGGGAACUGCAUCUGAUACUGGCAAGCUUGGGUCUCGUGGAGAGGGGUAGAAUUCCAGGUGUAGCGGUGAAAUGCGUAGAGAUCUGGAGGAAUACCGGUGGCGAAGGCGGCCCCCUGGACGAAGACUGACGCUCAGGUGCGAAAGCGUGGGGAGCAAACAGG